rnacentral:rRNA from 1 species
GAUGAACGCUGGCGGCGUGCCUAAUACAUGCAAGUCGAGCGAACGGACGAGAAGCUUGCUUCUCUGAUGUUAGCGGCGGGCGGGUGAGUAACACGUGGAUAACCUACCUAUAAGACUGGGAUAACUUCGGGAAACCGGAGCUAAUACCGGAUAAUAUUUUGAACCGCAUGGUUCAAAAGUGAAAGACGGUCUUGCUGUCACUUAUAGAUGGAUCCGCGCUGCAUUAGCUAGUUGGUAAGGUAACGGCUUACCAAGGCAACGAUGCAUAGCCGACCUGAGAGGGUGAUCGGCCACACUGGAACUGAGACACGGUCCAGACUCCUACGGGAGGCAGCAGUAGGGAAUCUUCCGCAAUGGGCGAAAGCCUGACGGAGCAACGCCGCGUGAGUGAUGAAGGUCUUCGGAUCGUAAAACUCUGUUAUUAGGGAAGAACAUAUGUGUAAGUAACUGUGCACAUCUUGACGGUACCUAAUCAGAAAGCCACGGCUAGCUACGUGCCAGCAGCCGCGGUUAUACGUAGGUGGCAAGCGUUAUCCGGAAUUAUUGGGCGUAAAGCGCGCGUAGCGGUUUUUUAGUCUGAUGUGAAAGCCCACGGCUCAACCGUGGAGGGUCAUUGGAAACUGGAAAACUUGAGUGCAGAAGAGGAAAGUGGAAUUCCAUGUGUAGCGGUGAAAUGCGCAGAGAUAUGGAGGAACACCAGUGGCGAAGGCGACUUUCUGGUCUGUAACUGACGCUGAUGUGCGAAAGCGUGGGGAUCAAACAGGAUUAGAUACCCUGGUAGUCCACGCCGUAAACGAUGAGUGCUAAGUGUUAGGGGGUUUCCGCCCCUUAGUGCUGCAGCUAACGCAUUAAGCACUCCGCCUGGGGAGUACGACCGCAAGGUUGAAACUCAAAGGAAUUGACGGGGACCCGCACAAGCGGUGGAGCAUGUGGUUUAAUUCGAAGCAACGCGAAGAACCUUACCAAAUCUUGACAUCCUUUGACAACUCUAGAGAUAAAGCCUUCCCCUUCGGGGGGGGCAAAGUGACAGGUGGUGCAUGGUUGUCGUCAGCUCGUGUCGUGAGAUGCUGGGUUAAGUCCCGCAACGAGCGCAACCCUUAAGCUUAGUUGCCAUCAUUAAGUUGGGCACUCUAAGUUGACUGCCGGUGACAAACCGGAGGAAGGUGGGGAUGACGUCAAAUCAUCAUGCCCCUUAUGAUUUGGGCUACACACGUGCUACAAUGGACAAUACAAAGGGCAGCGAAACCGCGAGGUCAAGCAAAUCCCAUAAAGUUGUUCUCAGUUCGGAUUGUAGUCUGCAACUCGACUACACGAAGCUGGAAUCGCUAGUAAUCGUAGAUCAGCGUGCUACGGUGAAUACGUUCCCGGGUCU